rnacentral:snRNA from 1 species
UUUAAAAAACUGUCUAGUUCU